GAUUGAACGCGUGGCGGCGUGCUUAACACAUGCAAGUCGAGCGAAGGCACUUUUGCGGAUUUCUUCGGAUUGAAGCAACUGUGACUGAGCGGCGACGGGUGAGUAACGCGUGGGUAACCUGCCUCAUACAGGGGGAUAACAGUUGGAAACGGCUGCUAAUACCGCAUAAGCGCACAGUACCGCAUGGUACGGUGUGAAAAACUCCGGUGGUAUGAGAUGGACCCGCGUCUGAUUAGGUAGUUGGUGGGGUAACGGCCUACCAAGCCGACGAUCAGUAGCCGAGUUGAGAGACUGAUCGGCCACAUUGGGACUGAGACACGGCCCAA
rnacentral:rRNA from 1 species